UCUUUUCCCCUGGCCACCGUUGAGACCAUCCUGUCCCAGUCUCGUCAGCCAGACAGAGUGAGACCCCGUCUUGAUUGUUGUUGUGAUAUUGUUGCAGUGGGGUGCUGUUUCAAAGUCCACUCCAAACCAAACCCAGAAGUACCAAGUUCUCCAAAUACCCAGCAGAGGGGAAUGUCCGAGCCCAGACGGAUCUCCUGCCCCUCACAGCGCCUCAAUGGGAACAAGAACAAGAAGCAAGAAAACGAUGUUCAAUAAGAUGACCAAUGCAGCAGGUGCAGGUAAGAAAUAUUUUUUUCAUUUUUUUGAUGCAGUGUGGUUAUAUUGCGCUCCCAGAAGUUCACACUAUCACUUGAACAAGCGAGUUGACGACCUCUG
rnacentral:lncRNA from 1 species